rnacentral:lncRNA from 1 species
UUUCUUGUCUCCUGACGGAGCCUGAGCCGCUUCACAGAGGGGACUGAAGGUCACAGUUCUUGUGCGUUAAUUAAAAGGAUGAAGUGCCAGAAACCCCAGGAGUCUUGAAGAACUCCAGCAAAUGGCAGAUUUGGAACCCGGGCCUCAAGCUGGGUCUGCACAGAGGGGCCAUGGGCCAGGAUUUAGCCCCAACACACCAAGGAGGGGGCUUGUCUGUGCUGCCUUCUUGGAGCUGCUCAGGGGCAGCCUGGAGCACCAGAGGCCACCAUGGGUCACAAGCCUUCCUGUCAGGAUGGGCCCAGGACUUCCCACCUAGACAGAUCUCUAGGCCCUUGAUGGCCCAGACAGGGACCAGGCCGGACUCUCCACCCUGAGAUCAUCACAUGUCUGUGCUCAGCUGGCCACCUUCAGGUGGCAUAGGACACACCCCUUGGGUUGUUCCCAGAGAGACAGCAACCUGGCAGGGUCAGCAAACAAAGUCCCCUCACACCAGGAGCAUCUGUGCGUGGCAGUGUCCUGACCAUGUUCAGGAAGAAGAAGGCCUAGGUCAGAGAGAGGGGGGAGCCAAUGCCCCUGCGCUUUGGCCAGGACCUUACCCCCUUCCACUCUCCCCAAGCUGGACUGUGGCACCAGGCAGAGUAACCAGUGCUGAGUCACAUUCUUGCCCAGUCCUGGACAUCUGCAAAGCCCUCUCACUUCAUGGUGGUUUUUCUUCUGCAAUGGCUAAUGAGGACAUUUGUUAUACUCCUGAAGGAAUCUCUGUCCCCCCUCCAUUAGCUCAAGCUGCUUAAGAAAGAGAGAUCCCAGGCACCUCAGAUGCCUUUCUGCUCAAAACUGAGUGAGGUGGAGCUGAACAGUGCUCCCCGUGAGCUGCAAGUGACCAUGCUCCCCGUGAGCUGAAAGUGACAGUGCUCCCUGUGAGCUGAGAGUAACCAGUGCUCCCCUGUGAGCCGCGAGUGACCAGUACUCUCUUGUGAGCUGCAAGUGACCAGUGCUCUCUGUGAACUGCAAGUGACAGUGCUCCCUAUGAGUUGCAAAUGACCAGUGCUCUCCUGUGAAGUAAACAUGACAGUGUGCCCUGUGAACUGCAAGUGACAUUGCUCCCCUGUGAACUGCAAGUGACAUUGCUCCCCUGUGAACUGCAAGUGACCAGUGCUCUCCUGUGAGCUGCAAGUGACAGUGCUCCCUGUGAGCUGCAAGUGACAGUGCUCCCUGUGAGCUGCAAGUGACAGUGCUCCCUGUGAGCUGUGAGUGACAGUGCUCCCUGUGAGCUGAAAGUGACUAGGGCACCCUGUGAGCUGAAAGUGACAAGGCCUCUGGUGUACUGAAAGCUAGCGUUGGGUGAGGGGCUGCACCAGGGC